rnacentral:rRNA from 1 species
UACGUAGGGUGCAGGCGUUAAUCGGAAUUACUGGGCGUAAAGCGUGCGCAGGCGGCUUUGCAAGACAGAUGUGAAAUCCCCGGGCUUAACCUGGGAACUGCAUUUGUGACUGCAUGGCUGGAGUGCGGCAGAGGGGGAUGGAAUUCCGCGUGUAGCAGUGAAAUGCGUAGAUAUGCGGAGGAACACCGAUGGCGUAGGCAAUCCCCUGGGCCUGCACUGACGCUCAUGCACGAAAGCGUGGGGAGCAAACAGG